GACGAACGCUGGCGGCGUGCCUAACACAUGCAAGUCGAGCGGGGAUUUAAGUGGAAGUUCUUCGGAAUGGAGAUUUAAAUUCUAGCGGCGGACGGGUGAGUAACGCGUGAACAAUCUGUCCCGGACAGGGGGAUAACACUUGGAAACAGGUGCUAAUACCGCAUAAGACCACGGCCUCGCAUGGGGCUGAGGUCAAAGGAGCAAUCCGGUUCGGGGUGAGUUCGCGUCCGAUUAGCUAGUUGGUGAGGUAACGGCCCACCAAGGCGACGAUCGGUAGCCGGCCUGAGAGGGUGAACGGCCACAUUGGAACUGAGAGACGGUCCAAACUCCUACGGGAGGCAGCAGUGGGGAAUAUUGGGCAAUGGGCGAAAGCCUGACCCAGCAACGCCGCGUGAGGGAAGAAGGUUUUCGGAUUGUAAACCUCUGUCCUAUGGGACGAAGGAAGUGACGGUACCAUAGGAGGAAGCCCCGGCUAACUACGUG
rnacentral:rRNA from 1 species